UACGGAGGGGGCUAGCGUUGUUCGGAAUUACUGGGCGUAAAGCGCGCGUAGGCGGCUUUGUAAGUUAGAGGUGAAAGCCCGGAGCUUAACUCCGGAACUGCCUUUAAGACUGCAUCGCUAGAAUUGUGGAGAGGUGAGUGGAAUUCCGAGUGUAGAGGAGAAAUUCGUAGAUAUUCGGAAGAACACCAGUGGCGAAGGCGACUCACUGGACAUGUAUUGACGCUGAGGUACGAAAGCGUGGGGAGCAAACAGG
rnacentral:rRNA from 1 species